UGGCCGUUGGUGCAAUUGGUAGCAUGCUCGCCAGUCUGACUGCCUAGCUUGAGUGCUAGGCAUGCUGAUUCGCAAGUGAUAGCGGUUCGAGUCCGUUAUGGCCAG